rnacentral:rRNA from 1 species
UACGUAGGGUGCGAGCGUUAAUCGGAAUUACUGGGCGUAAAGCGUGCGCAGGCGGUUCGUUAAGUUCGUCGUGAAAGCCCCGGGCUCAACCUGGGAAUGGCGAUGGAAACUGGCGGGCUGGAGUGCGGCAGAGGGGGGUGGAAUUCCACGUGUAGCAGUGAAAUGCGUAGAGAUGUGGAGGAACACCGAUGGCGAAGGCAGCCCCCUGGGUCAAGAUUGACGCUCAUGCACGAAAGCGUGGGGAGCAAACAGG